rnacentral:rRNA from 1 species
GAUGAACGCUAGCUACAGGCUUAACACAUGCAAGUCGAGGGGAAACGACAUCGAAAGCUUGCUUUUGAUGGGCGUCGACCGGCGCACGGGUGAGUAACGCGUAUCCAACCUGCCCGUCACUUGGGAAUAACCUUGCGAAACGUAAGACUAAUACCCAAUGACGUCUCUAGAAGACAUCUGAAAGAGAUUAAAGAUUUAUCGGUGAUGGAUGGGGAUGCGUCUGAUUAGCUUGUUGGUGAGGUAACGGCUCACCAAGGCGACGAUCAGUAGGGGUUCUGAGAGGAAGGUCCCCCANAUUGGAACUGAGACAC